rnacentral:rRNA from 1 species
UCCGGUUGAUCCUGCCGGACCCGACCGCUAUUUGGGUGAGGAUAAGCCAUGCGAGUCGAAUGGGAUACCUAAACUUCCCAUGGCAAACUGCUCAGUAACACAUGAUCAACUUACCCUAUAGUGAGAAAUACCCUCGGGAAACUGAGGAUAAUGACUCAUAGUUGAAAAGGCUUGGAAAAGUUUUUCAGUAAAAGGAUAUGAAAAAUGGUUCCUAUCCGCUAUAGGAUAGGAUCGUGCUCGAUUAUGGUUGUUGGUGAGGUAAAGGCUCACCAAGCCGAUAAUCGAUAGGGGCCGUGAGAGCGGGAGCCCCGAGAUGGGUACUGAGACAACGACCCAGGCCUUACGAGGCGCAGCAGGCGCGAAACCUCCGCAAUAUACGAAAGUGUGACGGGGUUACCCAAAGUGUUCAUUUAUGGACUGUGGUAGGUGAGUAAUGUCCCCUACUAGAAAGGAGAGGGCAAGGCUGGUGCCAGCCGCCGCGGUAAAACCAGCUCUUCAAGUGGUCGGGAUAUUUAUUGGGCUUAAAGUGUCCGUAGCCGGUUUAGCAAGUUCCUGGUAAAAUCGGGUAGCUUAACUAUCUGUAUGCUAGGAAUACUGUUAUACUAGAGGGCGGGAGAGGUCUGAGGUACUACAGGGGUAGGGGUGAAAUCUUAUAAUCCUUGUAGGACCACCAGUGGCGAAGGCGUCAGACUGGAACGCGCCUGACGGUGAGGGACGAAAGCCAGGGGAGCGAACCGGAUUAGAUACCCGGGUAGUCCUGGCCGUAAACGAUGCAUACUAGGUGAUGGCAAGGCCAUGAGCCGUGUCAGUGCCGUAGGGAAACCGUUAAGUGUGCCGCCUGGGAAGUACGGUCGCAAGGCUAAAACUUAAAGGAAUUGGCGGGGGAGCACCACAAGGGGUGAAGCCUGCGGUUCAAUUGGAUUCAACGCCGGA